rnacentral:rRNA from 1 species
UACAGAGGUCUCAAGCGUUGUUCGGAUUCAUUGGGCGUAAAGGGUGCGUAGGUGGCGCGGUAAGUCGGGUGUGAAAUCUCGGAGCUUAACUCCGAAAUUGCAUUCGAUACUGCCGUGCUUGAGGACUGGAGAGGAGAUUGGAAUUUACGGUGUAGCAGUGAAAUGCGUAGAGAUCGUAAGGAAGACCAGUGGCGAAGGCGGGUCUCUGGACAGUUCCUGACACUGAGGCACGAAGGCCAGGGGAGCAAACGGG